UAUAAUUCAAAAUUAUCAGACAUAGACCUUAACUUUUCUCUCACAUGCGAUUAAGGUUUUGAAGAACCAAAUAUUUGAUUUAGGUUUUUCAUACUCAACACUAUUUUUCUCACUCGCGAUUUGGGUUUUGUACAUAGGAGGAAUAGGAUAACCAAGAUUUAAUUUAGGGUUUUCAUCUUUUACUAUUGCACUCUUGCACACGAUUCCAUGAAGAAAGAAGCAAAGGUAGAUGUUGAAUUGACUAUUGAGGAGAGGAAUUUGCUCGGUACAAGAAUAUGAUUAGAGCUCGGAGGGCUCCGAGGCGUAUUUUUUCUUCGUUAGAGCAAAAGGAGGAUGCUGGAGGUAAUGAAUUGAUAAAAGGUUGAAUCGGAGUUAUCCAGCCUACUAGUGAAUUGACGGUGUUCUUCUACAAGAUGAAGGGGAUUAUUAUUUUUGGCUAAAUUUAAGUCUGGUGAGGUGAGGAGAGGAAAGAGGCAGCUGAUCAUUCAUUCAAAGCAUAUCAGG